GGUGAGGGAUAAGGGAUAAAAGGUGCGGGAGCGCGGCUGGUACUAACCCUUGGGGUAGCUGUGGGAGCUAUCAGUCCGAGCCAGGCCUGAGCCCGCCGCACGGGAGGACACAGCAGCGAGGCGCGGUGGCGUCCCCUGCCUGGCCCUGGCAGUCUCUAUCCCUUCAUCCGUCCCGCUCCGCCCUGCACCCACCGAGGAAGUGCCUCCCUUCCCUGCACUCCCUGAACAGGUGCUUCUUUGCCUCCCCCAGCAAUCUCCUUCCCUUGCUCCAUCCUGCAUCGCCGAGCAGGGGCUUCCUUGCCUGCCGUCCGCAGCCUCCGUCCGUCCGUCCAUCUAUCCCCGCCCUGCAGCCCUACCGAGUAGGUGCUUCCGGCCUGAAAAGCACCGUGCCCGCGGCUGGCGUGUGGGUGAGGAGUGCGGAGGAUAUUCCAAUGUAUAUGUUCACUAUAUAUCUUCGUGUAUGUGUUCCAUAUAAUAGUCACACUAUAUGCGUAUGAAUAUUCCCACACUGGAGUAGGUUGCCCAGGGAUGUGGUGGAGUCACCAUCCCUGGAGGGGAUUAAGAGACGUCUGGAUCUGGCCCUGGGUGAUGCUGAAGUGUUUUAUUCACUCAUCAUUUUUAAUAUAUAUUUCCUCCUCCAUUUAUAGGAGCGGGGAAGAUCUUUGUUAUGGUGGAAUCAGCUGAUAGUGAGGAUCUGCUGAAUUUAUUCCCUUUCACCUUCCAUUAGACUCUGCUUCUAUCUAUGUAAUAAAUAGUUCAAAAUUCAAUAACAGAGAGAAAACAUCAAGUUUCUUGAGUUUGGUAUUGUUAACGUAUAAUAUGAUGAAGAUUGUUUUUCAAAAAAUGAGCCAAUAAAUAGAAUUCUAUGUUCAUUUCACUGAUGAUCUAUUCAAAAUCAAUCCCCCUUCUCUGAACCAAACCACAUUUUCACGUCCUCCUAACAGGUCCUCUAGGUCUUAUGGUGGUUCCCUUUCUAAGGGGCACAACAUAAUGUGUUCAAACUUCUGUAAAAUGGUCUUUGAAGAGAUCAAAAAAGAUAAUGGACACUUGUGACAGUUGCUUGGUUAAAUAAGAUCUCCUAAGGAUAACAUUCUUUAAUCUCUAAAGAUGACAGCUGUUGCAGUGCUAGAGGAGGUGCUGGUGUCCAUUGAGAAUGAGCUGCAAGCAGUGGAGAUGCAGAUACAGGAGCUUGUGGAUAAGCAGCAGGAACUCCUUCAAAAGAAGAUGAGAGUAAAGAAUCUGAUAAAACAGUCCUCAGGAGAUUUGGAGGCAGGUGGAAGUAAAGACACUGAAACCUCAGCUGAGGAAUGGAACAAAAAAGAUUUUCCAUGGUAUGAGAAGAUAAAGACUGCACUGCAGAGCAAAUUUAAACUCCAGAAGUUUAGAUCCCUGCAACUUGAAACAGUAAAUGCUGCAAUGGCAGGAAAGGAUAUAUUUCUUGUCAUGCCUACGGGUGGUGGAAAGAGCCUUUGUUACCAGUUACCAGCUGUCUGUUCUGAUGGUUUCACACUGGUGAUAUGUCCUUUGAUAUCUCUCAUGGAAGAUCAGCUCAUGGUUUUGGAACAGCUUGGUAUUUCUGCAGCUUUAUUAAAUGCCUCAAGCAGCAAGGAACAUGUGAAGUGGGUCCACACAGAAAUGCUGAACAGGAAUUCAAAACUGAAGCUCAUUUAUGUGACCCCUGAGAAGAUUGCAAAGAGCAAAAUGUUCAUGUCCAAGCUGGAGAAGGCUUAUCAGGCUGGGUGCCUGGCUCGCAUCGCUGUGGAUGAGGUGCAUUGCUGCAGUCAGUGGGGCCAUGACUUCAGGCCUGACUACAAGUCUCUUGGCAUCUUGAAAAGACAGUUUCCCAAUACUCCCUUGAUUGGAUUGACAGCAACAGCUACCAAUCACGUUUUAAAGGAUGCUCAGAACAUUUUGCAUGUUCAGAAGUGCAUUACCUUUACUGCUUCCUUCAACCGACCCAACCUUUACUAUGAGGUUCGGCAUAAGCCUUCAAAUAACGAAGAUUUCAUUGAGGACAUAGUUAAGACCAUUAAUGGAAGAUACAAAGGACUGUCAGGAAUUGUGUACUGUUUUUCUCAGAAGGAUUCUGAGCAAGUUACUGUGAGUUUGCAGAAACUGGGAAUCAAGGCAGGGACUUACCAUGCAAACAUGGAUGCUAAAUAUAAAACCAAAGUUCAUAAAGGAUGGGCAACAAAUCAAAUCCAGGUUGUAGUGGCAACAGUUGCUUUUGGCAUGGGAAUUGAUAAACCUGAUGUGAGGUUUGUAAUCCAUCACUCUAUGAGCAAGUCCAUGGAAAACUACUACCAAGAAAGUGGACGUGCAGGUAGAGAUGACCAAAAAGCUGACUGCAUUUUGUAUUACGGGUUCGGAGAUAUAUUCAGAAUCAGCUCAAUGGUAGUGAUGGAAAAUGUUGGCCAAGAGAAGCUGUAUGAUAUGGUAUCUUAUUGCCAAAAUAUGAACAAGUGUCGCCGGGUGCUCAUAGCCCACCACUUUGAUGAAGUGUGGGAUUCUGCAAACUGCAACAGAAUGUGUGAUAACUGCUGUAGAGAGAAUGCAUGUGAGAAGAUGGAUGUAACAGGAUACUGCAGGGAUCUAAUCAAGAUCAUUGAACAAGCUGACAGCAUGAGUGAGAAACUCACCCCACUGAAAUUAAUUGAUGCCUGGUCUGGGAAAGGUGUGUCCAAAUUCAGGGUGCCUGAAGUUACUCCACCCAAGCACCCUCGAGAGGAGCUGGAGAGAAUUAUUGCCCAUUUAUUGCUGCAGCAGUAUCUGAAGGAGGAUUUCAGCUUCACAGCCUUUGCUACAAUAUCCUACCUGAAGGUGGGACCGAAAGCCCGGCUGCUGAAAAAUGACGGACACGUGAUCACCAUAGAAGGGAUAACAAACGGGAAAAGUGUUUUCAAGGUCAAACCAUCCCAAUCUUCAAAUUUGAAAGGAAGCAGAGAAAAUGCCCAGACUGUAUCAAAGACUGUCCAAGAUUCAGUGGUGAAGAAAUCACAGGAACAUAAACGGCCCAGCUGUGGUCCUAACUUAAAAGCAAAGAAGCCUAAGCUUCAGGCAGGUGGAAAUGACCAACCAGUAGUUAUUGACUGAGUGUCACAGACUACAAUUUAGGAUCUAAUCAUGGUUGCUGCUCCAUGGACAAUGCAGUGUCAAACAAGAUCAAACAUGCUCCAGCACAGAUUUAUCUUCAACAUCUUAUCGGCACUGGCACUCACCCUCGUCUGGUUCUACAUCUUUUUCUCCUUUAGGAAAAGUCAAGGAAGUCUGCUGCAGCUGGAUAAAUUCUUGCUGUAAGUGUAUUUUCUUUACUUCACACAGUAUUUCAAUAUGUACUUUAUGAGAAAACUAAAGAAAGAUUGACAAAAUUAUAAUGAUUAGCAAUCACAAGAUUGUUAAUGGCAAGUAUUAUCUUCACCUAAAUUGACAUUACUAAACUGGAAAACCCCCCAGCAUAUAUCCCAGCCCACUAACUGAAUUCCCACACUUUCUCCUCUUUUGGCACAGAUCUAGCCAUAGCCAAUGGCAAUUUACCUGCUUUUUCAGCAUGUAUCUGAUGUUCCUUGAAAGUCUGUAACAAUUAGAUUUUUCUGGCAUGCCAGAAAAUGUAUUCAAGUUCCUCUGAGCUUACAGGAAGCGAGUUCAAAACUUAACAGAAUAAAGUAAACUAUCUUUUCUGUCUUUCAGGAUUGCAAAUCCUUUGUUUUUCUAUCAUGAAUGAAAUUCUGAUAACAAUAAUAAGUUUUUGUUCUAAAGACUGUAAAAAGAAAAAAUAUUCUGUACAUCAAUCCACAUUUCAACCAUAUUCCGAGCUCAAACCAGAAGUUGGAAAGUUACCUGUUUCUCUAAAUUAUUUUGUGAAUUUGGGCCUUGUUUUAUUCUCCACGACACAAAUACAGUUCCACCACCUUCAACAGACAAAUCACCACUGAUCAAGCUGCAAAAUAUCCUAACCAUCCUUUAGCUGGUCUACAACUGAUCAGCCCUGCAUUUUUUAAAUGUGAAACAGAUGCAAACAUCUAACAGCUAAGGAAUUCAUAAAUGAAGAAAAAAACUAUAUGUGAGGAUUUCUGCUUUAUUGCAAACAGGAAACUCUACACAAUGCUCAUGCCCACAACAUUUAAACAAAUAUGAAAGCAAGGUUACACCCAUACCUCUUUAGUCCCUUUAAGGUGUAAGCCCUCGUGCCAGUCAGGGCCUAAGGCACUGCCCAGCUUGUCACACGCUGUUGUAGGUCUUCCUUUUUCCUCGAUUCCUUAAGGAAAGAGAUGGAGUAUAUCAGAUUUAGUGUGCAUACUUCCUUGUCCACAAAAUUCAGAACAAGGAUUCUCAAUUAAUAGAAGAAUACCAUCUGGCUGCCAAAGGGGAAGAUGGAAGUGUAAUAUCUUUCUUCUUCCUGCCUGAUGUCUAGAACCAUGCUCUUCUUUUUGUGAUGAUUUUGGUCCUACAUAUGUUUGUGUGAUGUUUGUUCAUGCAGUCCUAGUUAACUGUUGUUUCUGAGACUGCAGUUUCACUCCAUCUGUAAUAAUGUUCUGUGAGGUUUCAUCUGCUCCUCCAGUAUCUUACUAGGUGACAGCUCCUUCCUAUAUAAUGGUGAGAUAGUUCACUUCAAAACAUUACAGAAAAUAGAACAAGUUCUUCAGCAGAGGGAAUACAGGGAAUAUAAAUUUGGCACAAAGGUAAGCACUUUUUUACAGUUUGCAAGUAACUGUAUUACAUUCCGUCUACAGAAAUUCAGGAUGGGUUUUCAUGUUGCUUUUUCACUCUCAGUUUUUGGAAGAAUGAAAUGUCAUUUAAGAUAACAGUAAGCCUUAUUCCAAGCUGCUAAACUGACUGAUUUUCAGACUAUCUUUAAUACAAAAUGCUGCUGCUGCAGUGUCAGAAAACUAAACCCCCCAUACCUUCCACUGUGUACUUGGUUCUUUUACACUCGAUUGGAGUCUCCCGGCUUUCAGCAGUGAGCUUUGGAAUGAGAAAUUCAGCUGCUCCUGCAUCAAAGAAAGUGUUCCCAAUGGCUUUGUCUUUGACAGCCCAGAUUACUUCACAGCCUUGAAUUUCAUACCUGUGGACAUUUAAACAAGGGAUAAAGUGACAGACUGCCUGAAAAGGAUCUGACUGUUAGCAACAUAAGCAGAAGUGUGUCAAAUUUCCUUCCAGAAGCCAGAACUAGGGGAUCCAAGACUUUCCAACCUAUCAAAUCCACUUCUAAAUAUUUACAUAAAGAACCCAUUUAAAAAUAUCCCUUCAAAUUGACAAGUCAUACUCUCACCAACACAACCUCGACUGAACUGGGGCAGGGAGUGGUGGGGGGGGUGCAGAUCAAAUUUGUAAUAGUAAUAAUUAGUAUUUCCUGCUCCCCAUAAUGAAAAAGGAGUGCAUUUCCGCUGGACUCCCACUGCUAAAACCAGGCAUUUGGAUCUUGUUUACACUAUGUGGAACAUGAACUGUAUAUUCUUGACAUCUCUGUGUCAAAGCUUCUUCUGGAGCUUUCCUAAUUUUAUGUGUCAGUAAGAGCCACUACGUUGCAAAAAAAAACCAAAACACAACUGUAAUCAGUUUUGCUACUAAAUGCUUUAAGAGAUACAAUUUUAUAAGUCAACCUUCUCCCAAACUCAUGUACACUAGAUUUAGCAUUGCAUCGUUAAAGAUUUUAUUUGAAUAUGUAUUUUUUGUUUACUUACACUAAUUCAAGGGCAAUCCCACCAUUUCCUACCACCACUAUUCUCUCAGCUUGAGCUAAAUUCUUCUGAAAAGCCUGCAUUAAGAAAGGAAAACUGUCAGUUAGAACUUAGAGCAUGUUCCCUCACACCGGUUAACUAUAUCCUUUUCAGUAUUUUCCUGCUCUUGUUUUGAUUUUCUCAGACUAUUGGUACACAUACAGUUAGGCUGAGAUCUGUAAAAGAAGCUGCUGUAACAAACAAUUUCAGUUUCACUUCAGAUUAUUUGAAAAUGUUAACUCCUUUUUUUAUCCUUGAGGUCCAACUUCAUUUGAUGAAUGGCAGUUCCCUGUUAUGGAGAAGCAGUGCUCCCCCUGCCUCCUCCGAUUCUGAAGACCUAUAGCAGUGAAACUUCACCUUUGGCUUCCAAGCUUCAUUUUUAGUCCAUUAAGUCAUUUCUCAGUGCAAAUUUUCUGUUAACAAUGAAGAGAAAAGAAAAAUCAAUUCAUCUAAGAGAAUUCAUCUAAAUCAAGACAUCUAAGAGAACAUCAGAACAUUCUUCCUUAAUGUCAUAGUAAUUUGCAGAGAUUAAAAGCUGUAAGGGGCUUCUUAAGGAACAAGCCUUCAUACCC